GGGGCCGAUCCGGAUUCGACGGGGGUCGCGAAGCAGAGCAGGGCAUGUCGAGCACCAGUUCGCUCGUAAAUCCACUGGAAAAAAUACAAACGCCAACGACGAGCGUUUCGCACUCGCUGCUUAAGCAGUGCCGCUGCACUAGUCUGUCCUUGGGUUAGGUGGAGAGGGGCAACCCUCUAGAAGCUUGCUUCGAACCACUGCAGCGUCAUUCACAAGGAAUCGGUAUUGUCUGGGGUCACACGGACCGUACCUAAAUUACGUGAAUCGCCUUGCACCGGCGCGUUGAUCCGCUAAGUGCAGGGUUAAAUUCAAAUAGAUCGACUACACAUGUAGAACUGCCUGUAGAGGACUUUCGGACGCGGGUUCAAUUCCCGCCGGCUCCACCA
rnacentral:tmRNA from 1 species